GAGCCUAAUGAGCCUGCUAAUUGCUGCCCUUAGCACCAGGCCGUGUGGUUCCUGCUGGCCGAGAUGGCCAUGAAGGUGGAGCUGGCCCGCUAAUGACUAAUGAGCCUAAUGAGCCCUGCUAAUUGCUGCCCUUAGCACCAGGCCGUGUGGUUCCUGCUGGCCGAGAUGGCCAUGAAGGUGGAGCUGGCCCGCUAAUGACUAAUGAGCCUAAUGAGCCCUGCUAAUUGCUGCCCUUAGCACCAGGCCGUGUCGUUCCUGCUGGCCGAGAUGGCCAUGAAGGUGGAGCUGGCCCGCUAAUGAGCCUAAUGAGCCUAAUGAGCCCUGCUAAUUGCUGCCCUUAGCACCAGGCCGUGUGGUUCCUGCUGGCCGAGAUGGCCAUGAAGGUGGAGCUGGCCCGCUAAUGACUAAUGAGCCUAAUGAGCCCUGCUAAUUGCUGCCCUUAGCACCAGGCCGUGUGGUUCCUGCUGGCCGAGAUGGCCAUGAAGGUGGAGCUGGCCCGCUAAUGACUAAUGAGCCUAAUGAGCCUAAUGAGCCCUGCUAAUUGCUGCCCUUAGCACCAGGCCGCGUGGUUCCUGCUGGCCGAGAUGGCCAUGAAGGUGGAGCUGGCCCGCUAAUGAGCCUAAUGAGCCUAAUGAGCCCUGCUAAUUGCUGCCCUUAGCACCAGGCCGUGUGGUUCCUGCUGGCCGAGAUGGCCAUGAAGGUGGAGCUGG